rnacentral:rRNA from 1 species
AUUGAACGCUGGCGGCAGGCCUAACACAUGCAAGUCGAGCGAGCGGCGGACGGGUGAGUAAUGUAUGGGGACUGCCCGAUAGCGUGGGAUAACUACUGGAAACGGUAGCUAAUACCGCAUACUAUCGGAUAACCCAUAUGGGGUGAGCUAGUAGGUGGGGUAAUGGCUCACCUAGGCGACGAUCCGUAGCUGGUCUGAGCGGAUGAUCAGCCACACUGGGACUGAGACACGGCCAAGACUCCUGCGGAGGGAGCAGUGGGGAAUUUUGGACAAUGGGGGAAAACCUGAUCCAGCCAGCCCGCGUGUAUGAUGAAGGCGUUCGGGUUGUAAAGUACGUUUGGCAGAGAAGCGGUAUCUGCAGAAUAAGCACCGGCUAACUACGUGCCAGCCGCCGCGGUAAUUC